rnacentral:rRNA from 1 species
UACAGAGGGUGCGAGCGUUAAUCGGAAUUACUGGGCGUAAAGCGUGCGUAGACGGUUAUUUAAGUCGGGUGUGAAAGCCCCGGGCUCAACCUGGGAAUUGCAUUCGAGACUGAAUAGCUAGGGUACGGUAGAGGGAAGUGGAAUUUCCGGUGUAGCGGUGAAAUGCGUAGAUAUCGGAAGGAACAUCAGUGGCGAAAGCGACUUCCUGGACCAGUACCGACGUUCAGGCACGAAAGCGUGGGGAGCAGACAGG